ensembl:lncRNA
CCUCAACAUCACCAGUGUGGACAUAUAAUGCUGAAGUUCUGGCAACAUGUAAGAAGAGGAAAUGUCUCUUCCACUGCUGCUAGAUGAAAGAAGGAGGCCCUAAUUCUUUGGAUGCUGGUCUAAAUUUGAUCCUAUUGUGAAGACUGGUUUGGACAUCAGAAGAUCCAAGAUAUCAGCUAGAAUGUUUUGACACACCUCAAAGGGAUUCAGCUUACUAUUAAGGCAGUGAUCCCAAGCCUUCCCAAUGGCCUGCCAUGGUCAUUGUUCCUGUGUGGGCCAUGGGUCACAGGCUUCCAGAAGCCCAUCUAUCAGGCUGAAUUUUUAGGGGACUAUCAUAGAGUGGGCAUUAUUUGCACAUCUAGUACACUUUUAAAAGUAGCUUUGGGAGAGCUGGCAAAUGCCUAGAAACACUGCCACCCAGGAAUCACACCUGCUCUUUCAAUAAUGACCCCAGAAGGUGUUAUGAAGUAUAGUUUUAAAAAUAAGACAAAAGGAAAGUACAAUCACUUGAAUUACUCAAAUUUAAUCGCUUUAGGUAAGAGCAAUGAUAACCCAAGGCAUCCUAAUGUUUGCCCUUUUGCUGUUCUGAUGUUCUCCUGGCCUUCCUUGUGCAAAGCCAUCAUUUUGAAGCCACUUGUCCUGUGCUGCUUGCUCUGCCACCUCUAUGAACCAGAAUGUGAAGCCUCCUGAUCCAGGAUACUCAGCAGGGUACACCAGAAAGUGUCUUUACUAUUUACUCUCCAUUAAGGAGGAACUGCUUAUGAACUCGGCCAAACCUGCAAUAGGUGAAGAGUCUGAAGUGAAGUUAACCUUGGAUUCCAGAGCACAGCAAUCACCAUUUCAUGACAAACCUCUAAUUUGAACUUGUCUGCAAAAUUGACCCUCUGUGCUCUACCACAUACAAAUUUAUUGCUCUUUAAAUUCCUAGGAUGUCAAAUAGUGAAAUUUGAAAAUGAAGUGAACUUUGCACUCCCUGAAGAGGUGCCGCGCUCCCUUUGCCAUUCAGUUUGCUUUGGGCCCCUCUUUUCCUGGCUUUUGCGCCAACUGUAAUCUUUAGUGUUCAUGUUGGAGCUAAGCCUCUUUUGGCCUUCCAUGUUUAAAUUAGGCUUUUAGUUUAGGUUUUUGUUGUUGUUGUUGUUGUUUUAAUUCCAG